UACGUAGGGUGCAAGCGUUAAUCGGAAUUACUGGGCGUAAAGCGUGCGCAGGCGGUUUUGUAAGUCUGUCGUGAAAGCCGCGGGCUCAACCUGGGAAUUGCGAUGGAGACUGCAAGGCUUGAAUCUGGCAGAGGGGGGUAGAAUUCCACGUGUAGCAGUGAAAUGCGUAGAGAUGUGGAGGAACACCGAUGGCGAAGGCAGCCCCCUGGGUCAAGAUUGACGCUCAUGCACGAAAGCGUGGGGAGCAAACAGG
rnacentral:rRNA from 1 species